UACGUAGGUGGCGAACGUUAUCCGGAAUUACUGGGCGUAAAGGGUCCGCAGGCGGAGGGGCAAGUCUGACGUGAAAGCUCCCGGCUCAACUGGGAGAAGCCGUUGGAAACUGCCCGUCUUGAAUCACGCAGAGGUCGGUGGAAUUCCCGGUGUAGUGGUGGAAUGCGUAGAGAUCGGGAGGAACCUCGAAAGCGAAGGCAGCCGGCUGGGUGAUGAUUGACGCUGAGGGACGAAAGCGUGGGGAGCGAACAGG
rnacentral:rRNA from 1 species